rfam:Erwinia carotovora subsp. atroseptica SCRI1043, complete genome
GUUCACUGCCGUACAGGUAGCUUAGAAA